GCAACUUUAGCUCAGUUGGGAGAGCGUCAGACUGAAGUCCACUUCAUCUAGCAUCUCCUCCCUCUCCCUCGAGGGAGGGAAUUGCAAUCUGAAGGUCACCCGUUCGAUCCGGGUAAGUUGCA